AUUUCUCUCUUUUGGAUGACGAGUUUGCCGACCACUGGUUAGUAUAUUGUGUGUAUGUGUAUAGAUCUAUGUCCCUUGUGUCUAAUCUUCGGUUCCAGAUCAAAACACAGAUCUCUUCUUUGUAAUAUAAAAAGGGAACAUCAUACAAAUUGCUAGAAAUUAUUACCUCUGAGAAGCAGACAGUAAAUAAAAACGCUAAAAAAAUUGGUGUAUCAAUAAUUCUUUAAGGCAAGUAGUCAUUGACAAAGGUAGAAUUUAACAAUUUUGAAUUUAAUGUCAUUGUCAUAAAAUUUUCCUAAUAACCAAGGGCAAGCUAUUAAACCACUGAUUUAGCAAAGCAAAUAUCUAUCAUGAAGAUGUAGACCAGCAUGAUGAAGAUGUAGACCAGCAUGAUGAAGAUGUAGACCAGCAUGAUGAAGAUGUAGACCAACAUGAUGAAAAGGUAGACAUGUACAUGUAGACCAACAUGAAGAUGUAGACCAACAUGAAGAUGUAGACCAACAUGAAGAUGUAGACCAGCAUGAUGAAGAUGUAGACCAGCAUGAUGAAGAUGUAGACCAACAUGAUGAAAAGGUAGACAUGUACAUGUAGACCAACAUGAAGAUGUAGACCAACAUGAAGAUGUAGACCAACAUGAAGAUGUAGACCAACAUGAAGAUGUAGACCAACAUGAAGAUGUAGACCAGCAUGAUGAAGAUGUAGACCAACAUGAAGAUGAAAUGUAAACCAAAAUAUUUAUCAAGAGAUGUAUGAAAUAAAAAGUGAACAUCUUGAGAGGGAAAACAAUUCCUAGAGGCAAAGACACAGACACAUUAGAUACAUUAGAGAUUGUUUCCUUUUCUACCAUCAUUUAGAGCCUUUUUUGAGAGGGAACCUGCAUCUGUAAAGAAAUGAACAUUUCCCUAAUGCUACUUCAAAUUCAGAUCUCCUCCCAACCUCAGGCUGAGUACCCGUGGUCACCUACUUUAUGUUACAUUACCAUAGCACUACCUGCGUCUGUAAAGAAAUGAACAUUUCCCUAAUGCUACUUCAAAUUCAGAUCUCCUCCCAACCUCAGGCUGAGUACCCGUGGUCACCUACUUUAUGUUACAUUACCAUAGCACUACAGACAGUGGAAAACAAAUUAUAUGAAGGAGUGCAACCACCAUCAGAUAUUGUUGUCUUUACAGACUCCCAAUCUACUCUUCAAGAACUUAACAGCAGCACCUCAAACAGCCCAAGAGAGUUGACAACACUCAUUGUGAUAAUCCACCAGAUGAUAUCAAAAUUAAAUAUCAAUAUCACACUACAGUGGAUCCCUGGACACAUUGUCAUCAUGGAAAAUGAAAAGGCAGAUAAGAUAUCAAAGGCAGGUUCAUCUAUGGAACAACUAGAUAGACCUGUUAACUACCUCACCCUAAGGUCAAUGUUAGUCAACAAUCAUUAAGAGGAGUGGCUCAACCAAUGGUCAUCAGGAAACACAGGCAGAGCCAUGUACAAAGAAAUGACUACACCUAACAAACUGGACAGCAUUAACUUCCUCCCCUGCAAAGAACAAUCUACAAUUUUCCAACUAAGAACAGGACACACUCCACUAUUAAAUUACCACCUGAACAAAAUAAACUCCACACAACUCCUCCUUUGCAGACACUGCGCCCACCCCUUUGAAACCGUAAACCAUAUCCUCUUUGAAUGCUCCUCCCUAAUCCACCUUAGGCAGACCCUACUUCCACUACAGUCCAACAUAACCAACACCCUGUACGACAGUGCUGAACAACUGAAGAAAACAGCACACUUUUUUUCCUUGGCACAGUCUGCAAAAGAGCUUACAGCUCAGCAGCAAUAAAGCUGGCUAGAAGAAGAAGAAGAAAAAGAGGUUACAUUACAAGAAGUGGUCGCAAAGUCAGAAAACCUAACAGAUGACAAUGAAUAGAACAAUCAUUUCUAAUAUAGGUACAAGUGAUGUACUUUGUAAUAACUAUUUGGGUGGAAUCACUAUAAUUGACUUGUAUCUUGUUCUAUAUUUAGGUAAAUCUUGUCAUUCAGUCCAGUCAUUGUUCUUUUUCAUAUUCCUUUUUUUCCCCUCAAUCUUCUUGUUGUUUCAGUGAAAUGUUUUUAUCUUUUUUGUUUUGGAGGAGGGAGUGGCUGUGGUAUAUUAUCAUUAUUAUUAUUGGAGUCACAACACCAAAGCCUUGCUACAUUAUGCUUUUAAUUCAAUUUAUUAUCUCCCCUGCUUUUGUGUGCUAUCAUAUUAAUGUUCAUUAGUGUCACAUCCAUGCACAAUUUGUUCUAUGCUUUUUAUAGUGUAAAUAGUGACUUAACAUUAUUUAGAUCAAUUAUAUGUUAUAUUAUAUUUAAACUAAAACUGUUAGCAUUUUCUAUGCUAUUAUUAAUAUGAAUGUGUUUGUGUGUUGCUAUGAAUGCAUUUUAAGUUUUAGUCUGAAAUCAUAAAUAAGAAAUUGUUUCAUAAACAAAGAUUAUAUUAAUAUUUAAUAUUUCAGACUUCACUAUAGCAUUGAGUUCAUCCCCAUAGUCUAUUUAAAACUUUCAAAUACUAAUUCACUUUGUCUUAUCUAAUGGUGAUCAUGGUAUCCACUAUCCAUAGUCUCUGGUAUAAACACUCACUGUCCUGGUUAGGGCUAGGAUGUAAUCUCUAUUUCUGAUGGAACACAUGUAAAACCAAGAAAACAAACAGUAGACCUAGACUUUAUUAACAGGUCAUGCAAGCAUUUUUUUAUAAUUGUGAACUGAUGCUCUCAGAUCUAUUUUUAUGUAUUUUUAUUUUUGCUACUUUUGUAGACUAGUGCUAAGCUGUAUGCUUAUACUUCUGCCUAAUAUUAUAUGGGUUAGGGCGAUGCUGUUUCCUGUACUGUUGACCAGAGUGUGUCAGUUUUUAAUUAUUCUGUACUUGGAACUGCCUUUAAGUUUCAGAAUUUGUUGUUUUUUUUCUAUAUGUAAAGCUACUUUAUAUAUAUAGUUAUAUAUUAUGGUACAUUAUUUUUCUAAUUGAAACAACUGUCAAAAUAAUUGGCAGUUUUUUUUUUUAAAGUUUGUUUUAAAAUGAUGGCCACUUCUAAUGUUUAUGUACUAGAUCUUUUCCUAAUUUUUUUGUUUUUUUAUCUGCAGUGUUUUGUAACUGCUGCUUUGCUCAUUUGAAUUAAAGUAUCAUUUUGUUA